rnacentral:rRNA from 1 species
UGCCAGCCGCCGCGGUAAUACGGAGGGUGCAAGCGUUACUCGGAAUCACUGGGCGUAAAGCGCGCGUAGGCGGUUUAUUAAGUUGGAUGUGAAAUCCACUGGCUCAACCAGUGAACUGCAUCCAAAACUGAUAGACUAGAGUCUGGAAGGGGAAGAUGGAAUUAGUGGUGUAGGGGUAAAAUCCGUAGAGAUCACUAGGAAUACCAAAAGCGAAGGCGAUCUUCUGGAACAGUACUGACGCUGAGGCGCGAAAGCGUGGGUAGCAAACAGGAUUAGAUACCCUGGUAGUCCACGCCCUAAACGAUGAAUGUUAGUCGUCGGUUAGCUAGUCUAAUCGGUGAUGCACUUAACAGAUUAAACAUUCCGCCUGGGGAGUACGGUCGCAAGAUUAAAACUCAAAGGAAUUGGCGG